rnacentral:rRNA from 1 species
GACGAACGCUGGCGGCGUGCUUAACACAUCCAAGUCGAACGGAAAGGCCCUGCUUUUGUGGGGUGCUCGAGUGGCUAACGGGUGAGUAACACGUGAGUAACCUGCCCUUGACUUUGGGAUAACUUCAGGAAACUGGGGCUAAUACCGGAUAGGAGCUCCUGCUGCAUGGUGGGGGUUGGAAAGUUUCGGCGGUUGGGGAUGGACUCGCGGCUUAUCAGCUUGUUGGUGGGGUAGUGGCUUACCAAGGCUUUGACGGGUAGCCGGCCUGAGAGGGUGACCGGCCACAUUGGGACUGAGAUACGGCCCAGACUCCUACGGGAGGCAGCAGUGGGGAAUAUUGCACAAUGGGCGGAAGCCUGAUGCAGCAACGCCGCGUGCGGGAUGACGGCCUUCGGGUUGUAAACCGCUUUCGCCUGUGACGAAGCGUGAGUGACGGUAAUGGGUAAAGAAGCACCGGCUAACUACGUG